UACAUGAAAUCUGGAAGUUUC
rnacentral:piRNA from 1 species